rnacentral:tRNA from 1 species
GCCCGGAUGGCGGAAUAGGUAGACGCGCUGGUCUCAAAAACCAGUAAGAGCAAUCUUGUGCCGGUUCGAUUCCGGCUCCGGGUACUA